rnacentral:rRNA from 1 species
AGAUUGAACGCUGGCGGCGUGCCUAACACAUGCAAGUCGAGCGGUAACAGGUGUAGCAAUACAUGCUGACGAGCGGCGAACGGGUGAGUAAUGCUUUGGAAUCUUCCCAGUAGUGGGGAAUAACCAGUCGAAAGAUUGGCUAAUACCGCAUACGUCUGUAAAGGGAAAGCGGGGGCUCGUAAGACCUCGCGCUAUUGGAUGAGCCAAAGUCGGAUUAGCUAGUUGGUGGGGUAAUGGCCUACCAAGGCGACAAUCCGUAGCUGGUCUGAGAGGACGACCAGCCACACCGGAACUGAGACACGGUCCGGACUCCUACGGGAGGCAGCAGUGGGGAAUAUUGGACAAUGGGGGAAACCCUGAUCCAGCGACGCCGCGUGUGUGAGAAGGCCUGCGGGUUGUAAAGCACUUUUAGUGGGGACAAAAGCUACGGACUAAUAUUCUGUGGUCUUGAUUUAACCCAAAGAAAAGCACCGGCUAACUCUGUGCCAGCAGCCGC